GACCUAUACAUGCAGUAGAACGCUGAAGAGAGGAGCUUGCUCUUCUUGGAUGAGUUGCGAACGGGUGAGUAACGCGUAGGUAACCUGCCUUGUAGCGGGGGAUAACUAUUGGAAACGAUAGCUAAUACCGCAUAACAAUGGAUGACACAUGUCAUUUAUUUGAAAGGGGCAAUUGCUCCACUACAAGAUGGACCUGCGUUGUAUUAGCUAGUAGGUGAGGUAAUGGCUCACCUAGGCGACGAUACAUAGCCGACCUGAGAGGGUGAUCGGCCACACUGGGACUGAGACACGGCCCAGACUCCUACGGGAGGCAGCAGUAGGGAAUCUUCGGCAAUGGGGGCAACCCUGACCGAGCAACGCCGCGUGAGUGAAGAAGGUUUUCGGAUCGUAAAGCUCUGUUGUAAGUCAAGAACGGGUGUGAGAGUGGAAAGUUCACACUGUGACGGUAGCUUACCAGAAAGGGACGGCUAACUACGUGCCAGCAGCCGCGGUAAUACGUAGGUCCCGAGCGUUGUCCGGAUUUAUUGGGCGUAAAGCGAGCGCAGGCGGUUUGAUAAGUCUGAAGUUAAAGGCUGUGGCUCAACCAUAGUUCGCUUUGGAAACUGUCAAACUUGAGUGCAGAAGGGGAGAGUGGAAUUCCAUGUGUAGCGGUGAAAUGCGUAGAUAUAUGGAGGAACACCGGUGGCGAAAGCGGCUCUCUGGUCUGUAACUGACGCUGAGGCUCGAAAGCGUGGGGAGCGAACAGGAUUAGAUACCCUGGUAGUCCACGCCGUAAACGAUGAGUGCUAGGUGUUGGAUCCUUUCCGGGAUUCAGUGCCGCAGCUAACGCAUUAAGCACUCCGCCUGGGGAGUACGACCGCAAGGUUGAAACUCAAAGGAAUUGACGGGGGCCCGCACAAGCGGUGGAGCAUGUGGUUUAAUUCGAAGCAACGCGAAGAACCUUACCAGGUCUUGACAUCCCGAUGCUAUUUCUAGAGAUAGAAAGUUACUUCGGUACAUCGGUGACAGGUGGUGCAUGGUUGUCGUCAGCUCGUGUCGUGAGAUGUUGGGUUAAGUCCCGCAACGAGCGCAACCCCUAUUGUUAGUUGCCAUCAUUCAGUUGGGCACUCUAGCGAGACUGCCGGUAAUAAACCGGAGGAAGGUGGGGAUGACGUCAAAUCAUCAUGCCCCUUAUGACCUGGGCUACACACGUGCUACAAUGGUUGGUACAACGAGUUGCGAGUCGGUGACGGCGAGCUAAUCUCUUAAAGCCAAUCUCAGUUCGGAUUGUAGGCUGCAACUCGCCUACAUGAAGUCGGAAUCGCUAGUAAUCGCGGAUCAGCACGCCGCGGUGAAUACGUUCCCGGGCCUUGUACACACCGCCCGUCACACCACGAGAGUUUGUAACACCCGAAGUCGGUGAGGUAACCUUUUGGAGCCAGCCGCCUAAGGUGGGG
rnacentral:rRNA from 1 species